UACGUAGGGUGCAGGCGUUAAUCGGAAUUACUGGGCGUAAAGCGUGCGCAGGCGGUUUACUAAGUCAGGUGUGAAAUCCCCGGGCUUAACCUGGGAACUGCGCUUGUAACUGGCAAGCUUGAGUGUGGCAGAGGGGGGUGGAAUUCCACGUGUAGCAGUGAAAUGCGUAGAGAUGUGGAGGAACACCGAUGGCGAAGGCAGCCCCCUGGGCCGGUACUGACGCUGAGGUGCGAAAGCGUGGGGAGCAAACAGG
rnacentral:rRNA from 1 species